CCAUUGUGGGAGCUACUGUUUCUUUGUAUGACAUUAAAUGUUGUAGGCUACAGUACAGUUAGACUACUUUGUUGUAGUGUUCAGAUAAUGACUAGGUAGUUGCCGAGAGAAAAUGACAUUCUCAAGGCUGCAACGGAUGCGCCCCUAGACUAGAGCAAUCAAACAUCAAAACUGAAUUAAGUUAGGACAAAUAAACGUCUCAUGUAGCCUAAUCUUACUUCAGAAAGUUCCUGGAUAACAUUUUACGUGAUCUAUAAAAGUCGAGUAAUGUCAAGAAAACGUUCAACAACACCCCCUUUCACUAAGAAUCCUGUUGUCUGCUAUCGUCUACUUUAACCUGACAGCCAUUUGGAACACAUGCACAAAGAGAGAGUAUCUCAACAGGCCUAUUUCUCCUGAGGGGGUGUCUGGGAAUGACUGGUUCCGGUUAUUCGCUGCUGCUAUAAUGGCAGCUGCUGUACACUACCAGUACAGAUAGGACAACGAGCUAUUUAUACAAGUCUUUACAACGGGUGCAUCCGUUUAUUAAUAAGUAAUUCUACGGUCAAAAAUUAACGUUUGGAGGCCACUCUAAAGAUGAACCCUCUAUCCUGACACCUCUGGAGCAGUGCUGCAGGAUUCGUCGCUCCACCCUCCUGCGUGUCUACGUCUCCUCUCCCUGCUACAGUCUCUGUGACGUCAUGAGGGACUCUCUUUUCCACGAUCCUCUAUUCUUCGUGGCCCCUCUCUGAGCUGCACCUCUCUGCCCUGGACCGUCGCCUAGCGACCGUGCUCAGAACUGUGAGCCGUUGCCAGGAAGGACAGUGUAGCCGCCAUGGAGGCGAGGAUGAUGUCACUCAUUAUAUGACCUUCGUUACACCUGUGACACAUGCAGGGUACACUCUUAGAAAAAAGGGUUCUUCGGCAGUCCCCAUAGGAGAACCCUUUUGGGUUAUACAUGGAACCCA